rnacentral:rRNA from 1 species
AUUGAACGCUGGCGGCAGGCCUAACACAUGCAAGUCGAGCGGAUGAAGGGAGCUUGCUCCUGGUUUCAGCGGCGGACGGGUGAGUAAUGCCUAGGAAUCUGCCUGGUAUUGGGGGAUAACGUCCGGAAACGGGCGCCAAUACCGCAUACGUCCUGAUGGAGAAAGUGGGGGAUCUUCGGACCUCACGCUAUCAGAUGAGCCUAGGUCGGAUUAGCUAGUUGGUGGGGUAAAGGCCUACCAAGGCGACGAUCCGUAACUGGUCUGAGAGGAUGAUCAGUCACACUGGAACUGAGACAGGGUCCAGACUCCUACGGGAGGCAGCAGUGGGGAAUAUUGGACAAUGGGCGAAAGCCUGGUCCAGCCAUGCCGCGUGUGUGAAGAAGGUCUUCGGAUUGUAAAGCACGUUAAGUUGGGAGGAAGGGCAGUAAGUUAAUACCUUGCUGUUUUGACGUUACCAACAGAAUAAGCACCGGCUAACUUCGUG